CGCGGCCUAUCAGCUUGUUGGUGGGGUGAUGGCCUACCAAGGCGACGACGGGUAGCCGGCCUGAGAGGGUGAUCGGCCACAUUGGGACUGAGAUACGGCCCAGACUCCUACGGGAGGCAGCAGUGGGGAAUAUUGCACAAUGGGCGGAAGCCUGAUGCAGCGACGCCGCGUGAGGGAUGACGGCCUUCGGGUUGUAAACCUCUUUCAGCAGGGACGAAGCGUAAGUGACGGUACCUGCAGAAGAAGCACCGGCUAACUAUGUGCCAGCAGCCGCGGUAAUACGUAGGGUGCGAGCGUUGUCCGGAAUUACUGGGCGUAAAGAGCUCGUAGGCGGUUUGUCACGUCGUCUGUGAAAUCCUAGGGCUUAACCCUGGACGCGCAGGCGAUACGGGCUGACUUGAGUACUACAGGGGAGACUGGAAUUUCUGGUGUAGCGGUGGAAUGCACAGAUAUCAGGAAGAACACCGAUGGCGAAGGCAGGUCUCUGGGUAGUAACUGACGCUGAGGAGCGAAAGCAUGGGUAGCGAACAGGAUUAGAUACCCUGGUAGUCCAUGCCGUAAACGGUGGGCGCUAGGUGUGGGGUUCCUUCCACGGGCUCCGCGCCGUAGCUAACGCAUUAAGCGCCCCGCCUGGGGAGUACGG
rnacentral:rRNA from 1 species